rnacentral:tRNA from 1 species
GGCCAUGGCUCAGUGGUAGAGCAUGUAUUCAGCACAUAGAAGAUCUCAAGUUCGAUCCCUGGCAUCUCCA